UAAAGAGCGAUGUCUUGACUAUAUCCUGUCUGUUCACUUUCCUAUCAAUAUUUAAAUGGUUUUUAGGUUUUUAUUUUCAAUUAUACUUACAUUUGAUGACUUUCUUGGAACACCAUCUGAGGAGUUAAUCUUCAUAAUCCAGCCAACAUAAAUGAACCUUUAGAACUACCCUGUUUUUAUUUUUUGUGUAUGCCAAGAUUUAAUGCAUAGCCAAGUAGCAUGAGGCAAGCUCGUUUAAGAGGAGUGUUGUAAAGUUAGAUUUUCAUUAUAUUUAGUGAGAGAUGGUGAUGAUCUCUUAAUUCUUUGCUACCACAUCUGAGGCUCAAUAGCAACGGCUUCAUGUCCUCACCCAUACUAACAUGAAUCCAUAAUAUACAUCUUGUGCAGAAUGUAAAUGAAAAAGCUUCCAUUCCAUUCCCAGUUUUCCCAAGAGGCAUGUACAAAAAAAAAGAGAAAGAAAGAAAGAAAGAAAGAAAGAAAGAAAGAAAGAAAGAAAGAGAAAGAAAACGAACCAGAGCACAUUUGCCAUAUUAAAAUUGUCAAACCCUUGUUUAUAGAUAAAAUUUAGACAUGGCUAAUCUUAUUUGUGUUCAAUAUUUAUAGGUCUUUGGAGCCUAUUACCUAUACCAGAUAUAUUGGAAAGUAAUAGAACUGUGCGCAAAUCCAACCUCCACGCUUUGCCUGGAAAUAAAUGGUGAAAAGAGGAACUUGGCUCUGGAGGGACGGAGGAAUUUGUUGGCUUAUAGGACCACAAAGUUGAAAUGGUGAAUCUUCUCCAUGUGGACCUAACAGUCCAGCUGAAAGCCAGCACUUCCUUCCCAGUGUCCCUGGUCAGGUCCCUGGAUCAGUUCUGGUCAGGCCACUAAGAGCACCAUGGCGGGAAGAUGGAACAUGCUGAUUGGCCAGGUCUGGGUCACAUAGUCCACUCCUCUAGGUUCCCUCAGCCGCCCUAAACUAUGUGAACCAUAGGAAAGGAAGGUGGGGUUAAUUCACCCAGACUGCCAGGAGUGAUGCUGAGCCUAAAAUGGGAAAGAGAUUCUGGGCAGACAAAACUACAAGUACUCCAGCGUGUAGAUCUCAAGAGGUUUGGGCAAGCUCUCCCGCCGCCAGUCUCUUGUUCCUCCCACGAGCAUUGAUUUGAUUUUUCUUUACCUUAAUGGCAGGACGGUGGAAAGGGAGGGAAAGAAGGUGUUCACUCCCUCGAGUUGUAUCUCCCUCCUCAUCAUUCGUGGCUAGUUUUCCACAAACACUUCUCUAGCUCUCACCCCUCCCCAACAUGGAGAUCCUAAGACCCAAGUUCUUCAACAAGAUGUUGAGAGGACUCUCGAAGCACAAGUACCUCUCAAUACACAAGGACUCUUACUUCCAUUAUUUCCAAAGCCCCCCUGGGCUGUCAGGGUGUUUUCUCUUGCAGGUGACAGAAACCAAACUCCUGUCUGGCUCAAACUGGAAAGGGAGAUUUGCUGGUCACAUAACAAAAAAAAAAAAAAAACCCAUGGAUGAAACUUGGCAUGGUGACCUCAGAUCUUCAAAUGACAAUAUCACGAAUGGUUUGGUGUCUCCUACUCACCUCAGCUGUCCACUCUGUUGGCUUCCUUCACACGCAGGCUCUCCUGGUGAGGUGGCAGGAUGACUCAUGGCCCCAAACACACCCCUGCAGUUUAUCAACCAGCCUGGAAGAGGUGUUUCUCUCCUCCUAGAGUCUCCUUGGCCCAGAUUGGCCAGUGUGCUUAUCCUGGGACCCAUCACUGUUGCCAGGGGCAUGGGACAGACUGAUAGGUCAUGCCUCAUCAUGUUUCCACCCAUUGAGUCAGGUGGUCUCUGUCCUUCUGAAAGGGAGAGGGACAGCCCUGAAAACUGGGAAGGUGGUCCUCCAAUGGCCCUUGUUCACUUGUCCUUUUCGUGUGUGGGUGCCUACCUCUUGCUCUUCCACCCCUGGACUCUUUAUCAUUUAGGGUCAGGUUAACUUUUACCUCCUCAGAGGUCACUGACCACCUUUCAGAAAGGAAGUCCUGUUUGUUCUUUUUUAAUACGCCAUCUUGUUUAUUUCCUUCACAGCCCAUUUGAUCUCUUCCUCCCCCUCCUGUUCCACCU